CAGUGCCGCGGGAAUACAGAGGGUGCGAGCGUUAAUCGGAUUUACUGGGCGUAAAGCGUGCGUAGGCGGCUAAUUGAGUCGGAUGUGAAAUCCCCGAGCUUAACUUGGGAAUUGCAUUCGAUACUGGUUAGCUAGAGUGUGGGAGAGGAUGGUAGAAUUCCAGGUGUAGCGGUGAAAUGCGUAGAGAUCUGGAGGAAUACCGAUGGCGAAGGCAGCCAUCUGGCCUAACACUGACGCUGAGGUACGAAAGCAUGGGGAGCAAACAGGAUUAGAUACCCGGGUAGUCCCUGUCUCUUAUACA
rnacentral:rRNA from 1 species